CAUGACCUUCUUCUUUUUAACUGCAGUUAAUAACAGGCAGCGCAAAACACUGUUCAAAGGGCAGUUCUGUUUCCCGUUGUGUGAAAGUAUUAAAUCAGUGUUAGAAAGCUUUAGAUCAGACUGAAUCCUCCGUCUGACUCGUCUCUGACUCUGUUUCCAGAGGAGCAGCGUUUCCCAGAGUGCACUGCGGCCGAGUCGGUGAUGGAGGUCAGACUCAGAGAUCUGCUGCUGGACAUCGAGGACCGGGUUUACCAGGGCACGCUCGGGUAUCUGAAGGACGUGGAGCGGCAGGAGUGGAGGGCGGCGCUGGAGUCAGGUGACUACCAGGCUUUGAUUGGCAGCUGUGAGGACCAAUCGGAGACGCUGUGGGACGGCCUCGGGGCCUCCUCCCUGGGCAGCAGCGUCAGGGCCCUGGCCUCCGCUCUGGCUCAGAUCGAGCGCGGAUCGAGAGACGUUUCCUCAAACCUCCUCUGGGUAAGACACGGGGACACAGCAGAGGGACACUGGGGUUUGUCUCAGAGCA
rnacentral:lncRNA from 1 species